rnacentral:tRNA from 8 species
GCGGGUGUAGUUCAAUGGUAGAACUGUAGCUUCCCAAGCUACUAGCGUGGGUUCGAUUCCCAUCACCCGCUCCA